rnacentral:rRNA from 1 species
GAUGAACGCUGGCGGCGUGCCUACUACAUGCAAGUCGAGCGAACGGACGAGAAGCUUGCUUCUCUGAUGUUAGCGGCGGACGGGUGAGUAACACGUGGAUAACCUACCUAUAAGACUGGGAUGACUUCGGGAAACCGGAGCUAAUACCGGAUAAUAUUUUGAACCGCAUGGUUCAAAAGUGAAAGACGGUCUUGCUGUCACUUAUAGAUGGAUCCGCGCUGCAUUAGCUAGUUGGUAAGGUAACGGCUUACCAAGGCAACGAUGCAUAGCCGACCUGAGAGGGUGAUCGGCCACACUGGAACUGAGACACGGUCCAGACUCCUACGGGAGGCAGCAGUAGGGAAUCUUCCGCAAUGGGCGAAAGCCUGACGGAGCAACGCCGCGUGAGUGAUGAAGGUCUUCGGAUCGUAAAACUCUGUUAUUAGGGAAGAACAUAUGUGUAAGUAACUGUGCACAUCUUGACGGUACCUAAUCAGAAAGCCACGGCUAACUACGUG